GCCGGGCGCGGUGGCGCACGCCUGUAGUCCCAGCUACUCGGGAGGCUGAGACAGGAGGAUCGCUUGAGUCCAGGAGUUCUGGGCUGUAGUGCGCUAUGCCGAUCGGGUGUCCGCACUAAGUUCGGCAUCAAUAUGGUGACCUCCCGGGAGCGGGGGACCACCAGGUUGCCUAAGGAGGGGUGAACCGGCCCAGGUCAGAAACAAUUAGAAAUUGUGCUAAAAACAUCCCAUGUUAAAUGACAUGAUGCCUAAUAUUUUACUUUAAAGUAUUCCCAGUUUAAAAGACAAGGGAUU
ensembl:misc_RNA Metazoa_SRP Metazoan signal recognition particle RNA